rnacentral:rRNA from 1 species
UACGGUUUAAAACGUAUCGGAUGAACUGUGGAUAGGGGCGAAAAACCAAACGAACCCGGAGAUAGCUGGUUCUCCUCGAAAUAGCUUUAGGGCUAGCCUAUGACCGAAGAUUUUAGGAGGUAGAGCACUGACUGGCCUAGGGCGGCAUACCGUACCAAAGCCUAGCAAACUCCGAAUGCCAAAAAAUCAGGUCAUGGAGUCAGACUUAGAGGGAUAAGCUCCUAAGUCGAAAGGGAAAGAGCCCAGACCGACAGCUAAGGUCCCCAAAUCUGGAUUAAGUGGAAAAGGAUGUGAACCUACCAAGACAACCAGGACGUUGGCUUAGAAGCAGCCAUACAUUCAAAGAAUGCGUAAUAGCUCACUGGUCAAGUGGGUUUGCGCCGAAAAUAAACGGGGCUAAAAUCCAGUACCGAAGCUUCGGAUUGAUAGAGAAUUUAAAAUUGCUAGACCUAACUCAAUUUAUGAAAUAAAUUGUAAGUAGGUCAGCCGUCAGACUUUCCCAAGAGAGCAAAGCUCGAUUGGCAAGAAAGUUACGACGCUCAUCAACCUAACAAAGUAAUGAGAAAAAAGGUAAAACUUAGACGGAAAUAUUAAACACAAACAAGAUAAACGAGUUAUCGAAAAAUUACGCAAAUAUCAAACACUAAAGAAAAAGGUAAGUUGUAAAAGAACUCAAUUAUCACCGAACAAGCAGUCAUAAAACAAAAGUUAAAAAUGACAACUGGUUGAAAUAUCGUCAAAGUAUUUACCAGCAAUUUUAAACUCUCUAUCAGUGGUAGAGGAGCAUUGUAUUAGGGAAGAAGCCUAAGCGAAAGCAAGCGUGGACUUAAUACAAGAGAGAAUGCUGGCAUGAGUAGCGAGAAGGAGAGUGAGAAUCUCUCCCGUCGAAACCCUAAGGACUCCUGAGCAAGGCUCGUCCCCUCAGGGAAAGUCGGGACCUAAGGCCAGGCCGAAAGGCGUAGCCGAUGGACAACAGGUUUAGAUUCCUGUACCGCUUAAAGUCGUUAAAGAGACGUGAUGACGCAAGAGGAUAAGCUAGCUGCCUGAUGGAAGGCAGUCUAAGCACAAAGGCUUUUCAGUAGGCAAAUCCGCUGAUCAGCAGCCAAUGUGUAAUAGGCAUCGAAAACAUAAGUAGAGAAAUAGCCGACUUCAAAUUGCCAAGAAAAGUCACUAUCAAGACCAAAGCGCCCGUACCAAAACCGACACAGGUAGGGAGGUAGAGAAUACCAAGACGCGCGGAAGAACCUUUGUUAAGGAACUCGGCAAAAUGUCCCCGUAAGUUAGCGAGAAGGGGAGCCUGAGCGAUCAGGCCACAGAAACCAGGCCCAAGCGACUGUUUACCAAAAACACAAGUUUCUGCAAAAUCGAAAGAUGACGUAUAGGAGCUGACACCUGCCCGGUGCUGGAAGGUUAAGGGGAAGGCUUAGAGCAAUCGAAGGCUAGAACUUAAGCCCCAGUAAACGGCGGCCGUAACUAUAACGGUCCUAAGGUAGCGAAAUUCCUUGUCGGGUAAGUUCCGACCCGCACGAAAGGUGUAACGAUUUGGGCACUGUCUCAACAAAGGAUCCGGUGAAAUUGUAGUAGUCGUGAAGAUGCGACUUACCCACGCUAGGACGGAAAGACCCCGUGGAGCUUUACUGUAGGCUGAUAUUGGAUUUUGAGAUUAGACGUACAGGAUAGUUGGGAGACAAUGAAGUGUGUACGCCAGUAUACACAGAGUCACCCUUGGGAUACCAACCCUCUAAUAUCAAAAUUCUAACAUUGACCCAUGAAUCUGGGCAAUGGACAUUGUCAGUUUGGCAGUUUGACUGGGGCGGUCGCCUCCCAAAAAGUAACGGAGGCGUUCAAAGGUUCGCUCAGAAUGGACGGAAACCAUUCGCAGAGUACAAAGGCACAAGCGAGCUUAACUGCGAGAUAUACAGAUCAAGCAGAGUAGAAAUACGGACUUAGUGAUCCGGUGGCACCGCAUGGAAGGGCCAUCGCUCAACGGAUAAAAGCUACCCCGGGGAUAACAGGCUUAUCU